rnacentral:rRNA from 1 species
AGAGUUUGAUCCUGGCUCAGAUUGAACGCUGGCGGCAUGCUUUACACAUGCAAGUCGAACGGUAACGCGGGGGCAACCCUGGCGACGAGUGGCGAACGGGUGAGUAAUACAUCGGAACAUGUCCUGGAGUGGGGGAUAGCUCGGCGAAAGCCGGAUUAAUACCGCAUACGCUCUGAGGAGGAAAGCGGGGGACCUUCGGGCCUCGCGCUGCAGGAGUGGCCGAUGUCGGAUUAGCUAGUUGGUGGGGUAAAGGCCCACCAAGGCGACGAUCCGUAGCUGGUCUGAGAGGAUGAUCAGCCACACUGGGACUGAGACACGGCCCAGACUCCUACGGGAGGCAGCAGUGGGGAAUUUUGGACAAUGGGGGCAACCCUGAUCCAGCCAUGCCGCGUGAGUGAAGAAGGCCUUCGGGUUGUAAAGCUCUUUCGGACGGAACGAAACGGCUGGCGUGAAUAACGCCGGUUACUGACGGUACCGUAAGAAGAAGCACCGGCUAACUACGUGCCAGCAGCCGCGGUAAUACGUAGGGUGCGAGCGUUAAUCGGAAUUACUGGGCGUAAAGCGUGCGCAGGCGGUUCGCCAAGUCAGGUGUGAAAUCCCCGGGCUUAACCUGGGAAUUGCGCUUGAAACUAGCGGGCUUGAGUGUGGCAGAGGGGGGUGGAAUUCCACGUGUAGCAGUGAAAUGCGUAGAGAUGUGGAGGAACACCGAUGG